rnacentral:rRNA from 1 species
CUAUAAUGCAGUCGANGAGUUCUGAUUAUUGAAAGGUGCUUGCAUCUUGAUUUAAUUUUGAACGAGUGGCGGACGGGUGAGUAACACGUGGGUAACCUGCCCUUAAGUGGGGGAUAACAUUUGGAAACAGAUGCUAAUACCGCAUAAAUCCAAGAACCGCAUGGUUCUUGGCUGAAAGAUGGCGUAAGCUAUCGCUUUUGGAUGGACCCGCGGCGUAUUAGCUAGUUGGUGAGGUAACGGCUCACCAAGGCAAUGAUACGUAGCCGAACUGAGAGGUUGAUCGGCCACAUUGGGACUGAGACACGGCCCAAACUCCUACGGGAGGCAGCAGUAGGGAAUCUUCCACAAUGGACGCAAGUCUGAUGGAGCAACGCCGCGUGAGUGAAGAAGGCUUUCGGGUCGUAAAACUCUGUUGUUGGAGAAGAAUGGUCGGCAGAGUAACUGUUGUCGGCGUGACGGUAUCCAACCAGAAAGCCACGGCUAACUACGUGCCAGC